rnacentral:rRNA from 1 species
UACGUAGGGGGCUAGCGUUGUCCGGAAUCAUUGGGCGUAAAGAGCGUGUAGGCGGCCAGAUAAGUCCGCUGUGAAAUCUCGAGGCUCAACUUCGAGCUGUCGGUGGAAACUGUCUGGCUAGAGUCCGGAAGAGGAGAAUGGAAUUCCUGGUGUAGCGGUGAAAUGCGCAGAUAUCAGGAAGAACACCCGUGGCGAAGGCGGCUCUCUGGGACGGUACUGACGCUGAGACGCGAAAGCGUGGGGAGCGAACAGG